CUGGUUCUGCCAUUUCUUAAAAACCCAGUUCACAGAUGAGAAGUUUCAAGUACAGCUUGGCAAAUCCAGAGGAUGCUGGGGGAAGCAGCUGAUACAAGUCUCAUGUUCACUCAUCUACUGCAUAUGGAAUAUAAGGAAGAGGAGUCCAACAAAAGUCCUGGUGAUACUUUGGUCCAGUUUCACCUGAAAUCAAAAAGAUUUUAUUGCUACAGUCUGUCCUUGGGAAACCACUAAGACAAGAAAUGUAUUUUCAGUUGCCUUAGGGCUUGUGCUGGACCCCAGAGCCCAGAAUGACUCUUAGGAUUAGGACUAAAUAUCAAGAAACUCAGUAAAUACAAGUGAAUUCAAUUGAAAGGAUGGAAUACGUGCAGGGUUUCAGAAAAUUCUAAGGACCUUUAGUUUUGGAAACAUUUCUGCAACAAAAUAUGUUGCCUGUGUUUUAAGAGAGGUUCAGUGACUCCAACAACAUCGAUUCCAGCUCGCAGCUGCGUUUGGAUCUGGAGUCCUUGGCUCUGGAUGUGUGUAAGGCUGCCAAAAGCUUAACUUCCCAGGAAAAUGGGAAGCCCUCCCUGUCUCUGCUGGCUGCUCCUGAGAAAGGGCUGUGAGUGCACCGAGUCCCUUGCUUGGGGCAAUCCACGAGACUUGGAUUACAUGGGAAUUUAUCUAACCCUGCAUGUUUCACGGCACAGUGAGCAAAUCUGGGAACAAACUGAUGUUUUAAAUUAAAUUUUGAUUCUGAUGUGCCAAAUCGACCACCUGGGUAGAUUCCUGAAUCUGCAUGUCUGGCUGUGGAGCACCACCCUCUGAGGCAGCUGAAUCCCAUCCAUCUGCCACCCUCCAGCCCACAAUUUAGCCCAGAAGUUGCGUUUUUCUUAAGUGCACCCCAUCCUAGGCAGUUACCAUGGCAACCCAGGGCCCGACUGUCAGACGUCAAUCCUGCUACAGCUCUGCUGCUGUCAGGAUACAGCUAAAUCACUAAGGAAUGGAAGACUUAUUUUAUGGUCUUUCUUGUAAGGUCUGAGGUGAAUAAAGAGCUCAGGUCGCACCUGCACUAAUCCACCCCAUUCAGAGCUGAUGCUCCUGUAUUGAUGACAAGUAAUUACAUUUUUUGUACCAGCCUUUUUACAUUUCCUGUUUUGAGAAAGAGCCCUUGGAGCACUCGGCUUUGCUAUCACACAGCUCACCAGGCAGCACAUCUGUGCAGCAGCAGUGCCACUGAUGGUUUACCAAGGAACACACUCUCUCCCUCACCUCCAGAGGUUGCCAGGGUGGAGGAACAUUGUUAAAGACUGAGUCACCUCCUAUUUUUAAAAGGCUGAUGGGAUGGGAGCUCACCUCAGACAUGUUAAAGUAUCCAAACUGGUUUUGUUAUUGGGCUGUUAAGGGAUGAUGGGCAAAUUGUUCUUUCCUUCUUGCCCACUUCUUCCACCUGUUGAAGGGGAAUUCUGGUGUCUCUCUUUGUAAACUGGAUCUGACACCAUUUUAAAGCUAAGCUGCAUAAAAGCUAAUUAUUAACAUCAUGACCACUUACAUCAUCACUUAGUUGAUCCCAGAGCACUGUCAGAAGAGAAUGGUAACAUUUGACUCAGAGCUUCACAUCUGGGUGCUUGAGCAUCCCCUUUGCUCUCUUUUACCAGAAAAUUUAGCUAUACACUUCAAAACCCUGGUGGGCACAAAUCUGGAGCUCUGCUGCCAGACAGAAGAGGUUCCCAGCCUCACUUUCCCAUCUCCUCUUUCUUCAGUAAUACAUCCUAGUGGAUGUCCCAUAUUUUUCAACCUGCAGUGUCACUGAGGUGCCAGCCCCAUUCUCACGGAAAGGAGAAGAGCCUGUUUCUCUUGUAGAUAUAUGGCACAGCAGUUUGUUAUCCUGCAUAGCUCUGCAACGUGAAAACAUUUUGUUGUAGCAGUGUCAUAUGGCCAUUACACAGCAGCACAGGAGGUCACAUUAAUCUGACAGGCAGCUUUAAAUGCAGGAUACCCCCUGCCACGCUGUGGGCAGGUGGCUUUGGAGCUUUCCCUGCAGCCCAGCUACACUUAACAGUCUUCUCUAUAGUAUCCCUCUGUUUUUAGACUCCUUCAGUGAACCAAAAAAAUCACUGCUGCAUUGAAAAUUUUCCCCUUCCUUGGGUCUGGUUCAUCUUUUAAUUUAUCCUCACUUUGCUU